rnacentral:rRNA from 1 species
AUGUCGUCUUCCACCUCCAUCAUGAACUCUGGCCUCACCAACAACACGUCCGAACCCCUCACCCGAACGAACUGUGUCUUGUGGCGAGCACAAGCUCGUUCACAGAUCAUGGGCGUCGGGUUGUUUGGGUAUCUUGACAAAACCAUUGAGCAACCUCCCAAAACCCUCAUGUCCAAGGACAAAGAAGGCAAGGAUCAGAUCUUGCCGAACCCCGCCUAUACUCCCUGGCUUAUCCAAGAUCAGCAAAUAGUCGCAUACCUUCUUAGGAAUCUCUCCAAGGAAGUGCUCGUUCAGGUAGCGUCGCUGGAAACUUCGCACGCGAUCUGGACUGCCCUUGGGAACAUGUUCGCUGCAGUUUCUCUCUCCUGCGCCAACAACAUCAGGGCCGCCCUCACCAAUGCCCAGAAGGGCUCUCAAUCAGCGUCCACCUACUUCGGCCACAUGCGAGCGCUCUCUGAUGAACUCGCGGCAGCGGGCAAACCCAUCGAUGAGGGCGAGCUGAUUUCCUUCAUUGUUGCGGGCCUUGACAUGGAAUACCAGGCCAUUGUCUCCGCCCUUGAUGUCUCCCCCGUUCCUGUCACCGUUGAUCAACUCUUCUCUCUUGUGUCCAAUUAUGACCAGAGGAUGGAGAUGUUUCAUCGCACAAGGUCCGCGCGCGUUCAAGUCCUCGGCGAACUCUACCUCUCGUGGUCGCCAGGGAAGGGGCGGCGGUGGAGGCUACCGCAACCAGCAGAAGGGCGGCGGUGGAUCACGCAAUGGCGACGGCCACUACGGUGGCGGCGGCUACAGCGCCAACCCUAG